rnacentral:tRNA from 1 species
GCGCCGCUGGGGCCGAGCCCGUCCCCGUUCCCAUCGGGGAACAAGCGGAAGAUCAUCUGGCGUUGGAGGUCGUCGGCAUCGCC